UACGUAGGGUGCAAGCGUUAAUCGGAAUUACUGGGCGUAAAGCGUGCGCAGGCGGUUAUGUAAGACAGGUGUGAAAUCCCCGGGCUUAACCUGGGAACUGCAUUUGUGACUGCAUAGCUAGAGUACGGUAGAGGGGAUGGAAUUCCGCGUGUAGCAGUGAAAUGCGUAGAGAUGCGGAGGAACACCGAUGGCGAAGGCAGCCCCCUGGGCUAGCACUGACGCUCAGGCACGAAAGCGUGGGGAGCAAACAGG
rnacentral:rRNA from 1 species